GGUACUAUGGCCGAGUGUUCUAAGGCGUUGGACUUAAGUUCCAAUAGAGAAUUUUCCGCGUGGGUUCGAAUCCCACAGAUACCA
rnacentral:tRNA from 1 species